rfam:Strongylocentrotus purpuratus Contig94693_fixed, whole genome shotgun sequence.
GCUGCGAUGGCCGAGUGGUUAAGGCGUUGGACUUGAAAUCCAAUGGGAUCUUCCCGCGUAGGUUCGAACCCUACUCGCAGCG